rnacentral:rRNA from 1 species
UAGGGAAUCUUCGGCAAUGGGGGGAACCCUGACCGAGCAACGCUGCGUGAGUGAAGAAGGAUUUCGGAUCGUAAAGCACUGUUGUUAAGGAAGAACGAGUGUGAGAAUGGAAAGUUCAUGCUGUGACGGUACUUAACCAGAAAGGGACGGCUGACUACGUGCCAGCAGCCGCGGUAAUACGUAGGUCCCGAGCGUUGUCCGGAUUUAUUGGGCGUAAAGCGAGCGCAGGCGGUUAGGAAAGUCUGAAGUGAAAGGCAGUGGCUCAACCAUUGUAGGCUUUGGAAACUGUUUAACUUGAGUGCAGAAGGGGAGAGUGGAAUUCCAUGUGUAGCGGUGAAAUGCGUAGAUAUAUGGAGGAACACCGGUGGCGAAAGCGGCUCUCUGGUCUGUAACUGACGCUGAGGCUCGAAAGCGUGGGGAGCGAACAGG